UAGAUGUUAAAUAUGAAAAUUUUAAUAUAAUAUUUGAAGAAAUCGCUAGUGGUUUACUUGUAGAUGGCAUAAGUUGGGAACGAAUUGCUUUACUUUUUUACUUAGCAGCAAGGCUAGCAAUUAGAGUUAUCAAUCAGUUGCCAUUAGUGGAAAAAAUCUUUGAUUGUUUUAAAAUGUUUGUUGCAAAAAAACUUGUAAAAUGGAUUACAGAUUCUGGAGGAUGGAUUGCAGUUCAAGAAUACG
rnacentral:misc_RNA from 1 species